rfam:Canis lupus familiaris chromosome X, whole genome shotgun sequence.
GCCUGGGUGGCUCAGUGGCUGAGCAUCUGCCUUUGGCUCAGGUCUUGAGCCCAGGGUCCUGGGAUCAAUUCCCACAUCAGGCU